rnacentral:rRNA from 1 species
GAUGAACGCUGGCGGCGUGCCUAAUACAUGCAAGUCGAGCGAACAGACGAGGAGCUUGCUCCUCUGACGUUAGCGGCGGACGGGUGAGUAACACGUGGAUAACCUACCUAUAAGGCUGGGAUAACUUCGGGAAACCGGAGCUAAUACCGGAUAAUAUAUUGAACCGCAUGGUUCAAUAGUGAAAGACGGUUUUGCUGUCACUUAUAGAUGGAUCCGCGCCGCAUUAGCUAGUUGGUAAGGUAACGGCUUACCAAGGCAACGAUGCGUAGCCGACCUGAGAGGGUGAUCGGCCACACUGGAACUGAGACACGGUCCAGACUCCUACGGGAGGCAGCUGUAGGGAAUCUUCCGCAAUGGGCGAAAGCCUGACGGAGCAACGCCGCGUGAGUGAUGAAGGUCUUCGGAUCGUAAAACUCUGUUAUUAGGGAAGAACAAAUGUGUAAGUAACUAUGCACGUCUUGACGGUACCUAAUCAGAAAGCCACGGCUAACUACGUG